GUCCCUUCAGGGUGGCACCUGGAGAGUUUCCAGUCCUCUACCAGUCUCGGCUACGGGAGGGAGAAUCAAGCAGAGGCCUACCCAUUCCAUUCCUAGCUUGGUCAGGGGCUAGUGAGUGGAAGACAAUCUGCUAAAGUC